rnacentral:misc_RNA from 1 species
GAUGAAGAACGCAGCGAAAUGCGAUAAGUAAUGUGAAUUGCAGAAUUCAGUGAAUCAUCGAAUCUUUGAACGCACAUUGCGCCCGCGGGUAUUCUAGCGGGCAUGCCUGUUCGAGCGUCAUUUCAACCCUCAAGCCCCCGGGCUUGGCGUUGGGGAUCGGCCGGGCCCUCCGGGGCCCCCGGCCGCCCCCGAAAUCUAGUGGCGGUCUCGCUGUAGCCUCCUCUGCGUAGUAACUCACCUCGCUCUGGAAGUCGGCGCGGCCACGCCGUUAAACACCCCACUUCUCAAGGUUGACCUCGGAUCAGGUAGGAAUACCCGCUGAACUUAAGCAUAUCAAUAAGCGGAGGA